rnacentral:rRNA from 1 species
GACGAACGCUGGCGGCGUGCUUAACACAUGCAAGUCGAGCGGAGCGGCGAACGGGCGAGUAACGCGUUAGUAACUGCCCCCCUCUCUGGGAUAACAGAUGGAAACGGCUGCUAAUACCGGAUAGUGGGGGAUGACUCGCGUCCUAUCAGCUUGUUGGUGGGGUAGUGGCCUACCUAGGCGACGAAGGGUAGCCGGCCUGAGAGGGCGACCGGCAACAUUGGUCGGAGAUACGGACGAAACUCCUACGGGGGGCAGCAGUAGGGAAUAAUGCACAAUGGGGGAAACCCUAAUGCAGCAGCGCCGCGUGCGGGAUGACGGCCGUCGGGUUGUAAACCGCUUUCAGCCAUGACGCGGUAGUAGCAGAAGAAGCACCGGCUAACUACGUGCGAGCAGCCGCGGUAAUAC